AUGGACAUGGACACCUUCGAACGCCUCCAGGCCGAGACCAGGCUCCGCGAUGCGCUCAUGCGGCUCGAGGAGGCGGAGGAGACCGACGACGACGAAGAGAGGGGCGCCGAGGAGGAGGAGCUGGAGUGCCCCUUCUGCGGGGAGGAGUUCGACGGCGUCGGCCUGUGCUUGCACAUCGAGGACGAGCACGCGGCGGAGACCAAGGCCGGGGUGUGCCCUAUAUGCACAGAUAGAGUUGGGAUGGACUUGGUUGGGCACAUGACCUCAGAGCAUCCCAGUUUCUUCAAGGGCAGGUGGAGGAACCAGCGAGUUUCAUCUGGAUCACCUUCUUCAAUGUAUUCCGCAUUGAAAAAGGAUGCGGCGCACAUACAAUACCGCUAUGGUGGAUCCUCUCGUGCCACCUCGCUCAACACAGUGCCUGAUCCUCUACUCUCCUCCUUUGUUGGUAGCUUCAUUGAUGAUGAUGCAGAUUCGCCAAAAGAUGCACAAGAAGAGUUAUUGGAAAAAGUUAUUGAGAAAAGUGAUGCCUCGGAGCAGAAAGCAGAAGAAAGUGCUGAGGAGCCUUUGCUCCCUGAGGAGGAGGAGAGAACCAAGAGGAGCCAGUUCGUGCAGGGGCUGGUGCUGUCCCUGAUGUUUGAUGACAUCUUGUGA
rnacentral:rRNA from 1 species